rnacentral:rRNA from 1 species
UUGACCUCAAAUCAGGUAGGACUACCCGCUGAACUUAAGCAUAUCAUGAGGCGGAGGGGGAA